rnacentral:rRNA from 1 species
AACGAACGCUGGCGGCAGGCCUAACACAUGCAAGUCGAGCGAGAUCUUCGGGUCUAGCGGCGGACGGGUGAGUAACGCGUGGGAAUAUGCCCUUUGGUACGGAAUAGCCUCGGGAAACUGAGAGUAAUACCGUAUGUGCCCUUCGGGGGAAAGAUUUAUCGCCAAAGGAUUAGCCCGCGUUGGAUUAGGUAGUUGGUGGGGUAAUGGCCUACCAAGCCUACGAUCCAUAGCUGGUUUGAGAGGAUGAUCAGCCACACUGGGACUGAGACACGGCCCAGACUCCUACGGGAGGCAGCAGUGGGGAAUCUUAGACAAUGGGGGCAACCCUGAUCUAGCCAUGCCGCGUGAGUGAUGAAGGCCUUAGGGUUGUAAAGCUCUUUCAGCUGGGAAGAUAAUGACGGUACCAGCAGAAGAAGCCCCGGCUAACUCCGUGCCAGCCGCCGCUGUAAGAC